rnacentral:rRNA from 1 species
GACGAAUGCUGGCUGCGUGCUUAACACAUGCAAGUCGAACGGUGAAAGGGAGCUUGCUCCCUGGAUCAGUGGCGAACGGGUGAGUAACACGUGGGCAACCUGCCCCUCACUCUGGGAUAACUCCGGGAAACCGGGGCUAAUACCGGAUACGACCUGGUGCGACAUCGCACCGGGUGGAAAGAACUUCGGUGAGGGAUGGGCCCGCGGCCUAUCAGCUUGUUGGUGGGGUAACGGCCCACCAAGGCGACGACGGGUAGCCGGCCUGAGAGGGCGACCGGCCACACUGGGACUGAGACACGGCCCAGACUCCUACGGGAGGCAGCAGUGGGGAAUAUUGCACAAUGGGCGAAAGCCUGAUGCAGCAACGCCGCGUGAGGGACGACGGCCUUCGGGUUGUAAACCUCUUUUAGCAGGGAAGAAGCGAAAGUGACGGUACCUGCAGAAAAAGCACCGGCUAACUACGUGCCAGCAGCCGCCGUAAAAC